AGAAUAUAAGAACCUGUCUCUUAACUUUUAAUUAAAAACGCUAACAACCGCCUCUUAAAUAAGAGUUUUAAGAGACGGUUCUUAGCUUUUUUAUUUAAAAGUUAAGAAACGGGUUCUUAUAUUUC
rfam:Brassica oleracea var. oleracea cultivar TO1000 chromosome C1, whole genome shotgun sequence